GUGCUCACACUUUGGCAGCACGUGUACUAAAACUGGAAUGACACCGAGACAAUGAGCAUGGCCCCUGAGCAAGGGUGACACACCAGUUCGUGAAGGGCUCCAUAUUUUG